UGUGACCAUUUGAUGCAUAAUUUUCAACACAUGUUUUAUUAAUCCAUUCUUCCUGAGCUUCAUUUAAAAUACUGGAAACUAUAAAAAGAUCAGUGUGUUACUCCCCUGCCAGGAAAAAAGAAAAAAAAAAUGAAAAAAAUCUAACAAACACGAAAAAAGCCAGAGCAACUGGAAUCUCGGUCUUGAGGAAACACAUGGGAUUGAAGCAUCCGCCGGAGCUCUGUCACCGACUGUCAUCUGUGACUCUUCGGUGCUGAAGUCUAGAUGUCACCAGGCUGGGACGAGAAGGCGUGCGUGCAGGCCAGGUUCAGCACAGAGGGCAAUACCAAGGCAGUAUUUCUCCAGCUGUAGCCCACCGGCCACCUGUAUGGAGAGUGCCAGCGCAUGCAGAACUUCCAUGACCAGGGAUCGAACCUGCGCCCCCUGCAGUGCGAGCACACCGUCUUAAUCACUGGUCCACCAGGGGGAAGUCCAAGGAUUAAUUUUGUUUUGAUAAAUUUUCAAAGUUCAUUUCCUACUCCUUGACAUAGUGCAAGCACACACUCAAUUCUAUUCUGGGAUCAUCUUCGUGAAUGUAAAGCAAACUCCAUACUUUUCCUUAGAAAUAAUUUAGUAUGCCGUGUGGAUGAGGUAUCCUUUGGCUCUCUAAAAACCAAUCUGGCUUUAUUUGUCAGUUUCUAUAAAGACCUUACAGGUAUGUGUGCAAACAGGUCUAAAAGAGAAAAGGAAUUUGAUGGCCUUUCCAGCAAUAGACAUUAUGGAGCAAUCAGCGAGAAUGUUAUCUAAGCUGCCCUUUGACUAUUUUCCCUUGACUGUGCUUAUCAGUCCUGACUCCCCUCUAUGCCUUAAUUAUCUUUAUGUUUUCUGUGGCUGCCAGCAACUUUAUAUCACAUACCAGAGGAAUGAAAAUAACUGAUUUUACCAGAGGCAAUUGAGAAGUUAUAUAUGGCUCACAGGAGUGAUGGUGAUGAUGAUGAUGAUGACUGUUAUUAUCUUAGCAUUUUACAGAAUUCAGAAGUGAUUGGCUGCCUCCUGACCACUCUACUCAUGACCAUUUAACCUUGAAGUUGUCCAGUUUGCUUUGUGGUGAUCAGGGCUGGCUUAGCAAAAAUUACAAAGGAGGAAAAGGUUAGGUUUAGUAAAUCUGUCUCCACUACUAUAUAUCUAGUCUCCUUGUGUUGGUUUCCUAGGGUGCCCUCUGCUGGGCUCCAACCAGGAGUUCUAAUUCUGGGCAACAGCCCAUGAAACCCAUGGCUCAACACUCAUUAAAAACUUACCAUUUUAUGUCGUAUGUCAUCGGAAUCUUAGUAUUUGUUUUCCAAGCUGACAAUUAAUCCAGGUAAAUUAACCCAUGUCAAUGACUAAUGUAUUUUAUUGUAUAAAUGGGAAAAAAAACAACACCCCUCCCAGAUCACUUAAGUAUAUGUUUCCACAGUGACCUCAUGGAGAUAACACUUCUACUUAGAGUCUAAUUUAUUGGUGAUUAAUGGUGGGACUAGAGGCCAGGCAUAUGGAGAAGGCUGUGUUCUGAGAAAUCAAAUUAAACUGUGCGGGCAGCUGUGCACUCCAGCUAUCUAUAUGGCCAACCCUCACAGAGGUAAUUUUUAAUCUGCUAAGCAGGAAAAGAUUGAACAACUUUGUUUACUUUUAGUUUUUAUGAAGAAUAUUUUGAGCUCUUUUAGAGGGUAUUGUCUAAAUACUAAUAAUAGGUAAGUAUGUGGCAUUGUUUGGUGGAUUAGUUUGUCCAUAAAGAUGUGUAUAGGGUGUACAUUCACUGGCAUGACCUCUGUUGCCCUAUGUACUUUCUUGUCUACUGAAAUCAGUUGGGCAAUCCCUGUCUGCAAGCACAUUUCCCAAGAACCGGUUAGAGCCAGUCUUCAUAAGAGGAACCUAUUAUGAAGCCAGCUCCAGAGGAUAUUUACUUCGUUGAAGAUCUACUGAAAGAUACACUUGCUUGAAAAUGAAAUUGCUUUCUUUUGGCUUCCACCCAGCCCCUUGAAAACCAGAGAACCUUGGGGCUCAAUUAGAAUUAGAUAGAGAGGGGAGACGACAGCCGGACUUGAUGUGCUUUUUAAAACUUUCUCAUUGUUUAAGCUGGUAUUUUCAUAACUGUUGAAUGCAUGUGUUUCAUGAAGAUCAGCUAAAUCCAUAACACAUUAUCAAAUUAAUAAUGUGCCUGAGAUUGGGAACCUGGAAAAU